rnacentral:rRNA from 1 species
UACGUAGGGAGCAAGCGUUGUCCGGAAUCAUUGGGCGUAAAGCGCGCGUAGGCGGCCCGAUAAGUCCGCUGUAAAAGUCAACGGCUCAACUGUUGAAAGCCGGUGGAUACUGUCGGGCUAGAGUACGGAAGAGGCAAGUGGAAUUCCUGGUGUAGCGGUGGAAUGCGCAGAUAUCAGGAGGAACACCCAUAGCGAAGGCAGCUUUCUGGGACGUUACUGACGCUAAGGCGCGAAAGCGUGGGGAGCGAACAGG